UACAGAGGGUGCGAGCGUUAAUCGGAAUUACUGGGCGUAAAGCGCGCGUAGGCGGCUUUGCAAGUUGGGUGUGAAAUCCCCGGGCUUAACCUGGGAAUUGCAUUCAAGACUGUCUUGCUAGAGUGUGGAAGAGGGAAGCGGAAUUCCAGGUGUAGCGGUGAAAUGCGUAGAUAUCUGGAGGAACAUCAGUGGCGAAGGCGGCUUCCUGGUCCAACACUGACACUGAGGUGCGAAAGCGUGGGGAGCAAACAGG
rnacentral:rRNA from 1 species